rnacentral:rRNA from 1 species
AGUGAACGCUGGCGGUAGGCCUAACGCAUGCGAGUCGAACGGCAGCACAGUAAGAGCUUGCUCUUACGGGUGGCGAGUGGCGGACGGGUGAGGAAUACAUCGGAAUCUACUUUUUCGUGGGGGAUAACGUAGGGAAACUUACGCUAAUACCGCAUACGACCUACGGGUGAAAGCAGGGGAUCUUCGGACCUUGCGCGAUUGAAUGAGCCGAUGUCGGAUUAGCUAGUUGGCGGGGUAAAGGCCCACCAAGGCGACGACCCGUAGCUGGUCUGAGAGGAUGAUCAGCCACACUGGAACUGAGACACGGUCCAGACUCCUACGGGAGGCAGCAGUGGGGAAUAUUGGACAAUGGGCGCAAGCCUGAUCCAGCCAUACCGCGUGGGUGAAGAAGGCCUUCGGGUUGUAAAGCCCUUUUGUUGGGAAAGAAAAGCAGCAGGUUAAUACCCCGCUGUUCUGACGGUACCCAAAGAAUAAGCACCGGCUAACUUCGUG